GCUCAGGACGAACGCUGGCGGCGUGCCUAAUACAUGCAAGUCGAGCGGACCGACGGGAGCUUGCUCCUUAGGUCAGCGGCGGACGGGUGAGUAACACGUGGGUAACCUGCCUGUAAGACUGGGAUAACUCCGGGAAACCGGGGCUAAUACCGGAUGCUUGAUUGAACCGCAUGGUUCAAUCAUAAAAGGUGGCUUUUAGCUACCACUUACAGAUGGACCCGCGGCGCAUUAGCUAGUUGGUGAGGUAACGGCUCACCAAGGCGACGAUGCGUAGCCGACCUGAGAGGGUGAUCGGCCACACUGGGACUGAGACACGGCCCAGACUCCUACGGGAGGCAGCAGUAGGGAAUCUUCCGCAAUGGACGAAAGUCUGACGGAGCAACGCCGCGUGAGUGAUGAAGGUUUUCGGAUCGUAAAACUCUGUUGUUAGGGAAGAACAAGUACCGUUCGAAUAGGGCGGUACCUUGACGGUACCUAACCAGAAAGCCACGGCUAACUACGUGCCAGCAGCCGCGGUAAUACGUAGGUGGCAAGCGUUGUCCGGAAUUAUUGGGCGUAAAGCGCGCGCAGGCGGUUUCUUAAGUCUGAUGUGAAAGCCCCCGGCUCAACCGGGGAGGGUCAUUGGAAACUGGGGAACUUGAGUGCAGAAGAGGAGAGUGGAAUUCCACGUGUAGCGGUGAAAUGCGUAGAGAUGUGGAGGAACACCAGUGGCGAAGGCGACUCUCUGGUCUGUAACUGACGCUGAGGCGCGAAAGCGUGGGGAGCGAACAGGAUUAGAUACCCUGGUAGUCCACGCCGUAAACGAUGAGUGCUAAGUGUUAGAGGGUUUCCGCCCUUUAGUGCUGCAGCAAACGCAUAAGCACUCCGCCUGGAGACGCCCGUCU
rnacentral:rRNA from 2 species